rnacentral:tRNA from 1 species
UCCGCCGUAGCUCAGUGGUAGAGCUAUCGGCUGUUAACCGAUCGGUCGUAGGUUCGAGGCCUACCUGCGGAGCCA